rnacentral:rRNA from 1 species
AUUGAACGCUGGCGGCAUGCCUUACACAUGCAAGUCGAACGGCAGCACGGGAGCAAUCCUGGUGGCGAGUGGCGAACGGGUGAGUAAUACAUCGGAACGUGCCCAGUAGUGGGGGAUAACCCGGCGAAAGCCGGACUAAUACCGCAUACGACCUACGGGUGAAAGCAGGGGAUCGCAAGACCUUGCGCUAUUGGAGCGGCCGAUGUCAGAUUAGCUUGUUGGGGGGUAAAAGCCUACCAAGGCAACGAUCUGUAGCUGGUCUGAGAGGACGACCAGCCACACUGGGACUGAGACACGGCCCAGACUCCUACGGGAGGCAGCAGUGGGGAAUUUUGGACAAUGGGCGCAAGCCUGAUCCAGCCAUGCCGCGUGCGGGAAGAAGGCCUGGUUGUAA